rnacentral:lncRNA from 1 species
AUGUGUUGAAAAGGUUCAAGUUUGGGGUUGCAUGGGGAAAAUUGAAAAGCAGUUGAAAAGCAUUGAGCUCAAAUGUUGAAAAAGAAAAAUGCAGGAGAAAAAAGAAAAGAAAAGAGGAAAAGCCUGAAGAUGAGCUCAAUGCAAAAGAAAAGGGAAGAAGUUGGGAAAUAAGUGAGAUUGGUGAGGAAGAGAGUUGUGCUUAAAUGUUGAAUACUAUAUCUUAACUCAAGGAUUUUGCUUUCUAGAAAAACCAAUUUUUCAUGUCAACCCAGCCUCAUUACAAGCCUUGGAAAAGUCCUUUUGAUGGCAUUUGCAUGUGAGGAUUUUGAUUAUUUGAGAUGAAUGGCAAUUUUGUUUCAUGUGACUUGUGAAUGUUAGAGAGUUGGAGUGUCACCCUAAACAGUUGAGUGAUUUGAGUGAAACACUUUCUUGGUGAGAAU